rnacentral:SRP_RNA from 1 species
GUCAGGCGUGGUGGCGCACGCCUGUCAUCCCAGCGGCUCGGGAGGCUGAGACAGAAGGAUUGCGAGUUCCAAGUCAGCUUCAGCCAAAAAAAAAAAACCGAGGCGCUCAGCGGCUCUCAGUGAGUCCCUGUCUCAA